GCCGAAGGCGAAGGGCGGGAGCGCGGGAUCCGCAUCUCGUCACCGGCGCAGACCAAAAAUGGUUGUAGAAGGAGAUGCGGCUCCUAGUGAAGGAGAGGGAUCUGCAAACCAUUCUUCUAGAUAGAACUCGAAACGACCCAUCGAGCGGCAGACGCGUCGUGUUGAUAUCGACGGGGUGGCAGAGGAUGAUGAGGCAAGUAUCGAGCAACCAGUGUGGGUGCAUGUCACUUUUUUGCGCGCGCACACA